rnacentral:rRNA from 1 species
UACGUAGGGGGCAAGCGUUGUCCGGAUUUAUUGGGCGUAAAGAGCGUGUAGGCGGCCAGGUAGGUCUGCUGUGAAAACUCGAGGCUUAACCUCGAGCUGUCGGCGGAAACCAUCUGGCUAGAGUCCGGAAGAGGAGAAUGGAAUUCCCGGUGUAGCGGUGAAAUGCGCAGAUAUCGGGAAGAACACCCGUGGCGAAGGCGGUUCUCUGGGACGGUACUGACGCUGGAGACGCGAAAGCGUGGGGAGCGAACAGGAUAG